rnacentral:lncRNA from 1 species
GGUCUUGGUCCAGCCUGUGAUUGCCUUUGUUUAUGCUUUUGUCCUGGAAUAAUUAUUAAUAGUGGUCUCUUCACUAUCCAGAAGGUCCUAGUUAGGAUGAUAAAGUCUAUGGUCAUCAACCUAAUGAAGAUCUUAGAACAUGGAAUCAGUAGGUAUCAAGCUUUGUCUAUUUUGCAUAAAUAAGUUAUUUAUUAGCCUGGGUUUUUUUUCUACUAAUAGUUUCCAAAGUUCUUUUAUCUCAUAAUAUUUUUCACUUAUAGCUUAGAGCUUCAUUGAGAUUUAAAUAUUAUAUGGCUUCUAGAUUAAUGGUUAUGCUAACUUAUUCAUUUAUUAAUCAUUUAGUAAUCAUUGAUUUCUCUAAGAAUGGAGCUAUACAGUUUAUACCCUGUGUCACUCAACUUUUUGUCACCGUGACCAAAAUACCUGAUUAGAACAAAUUAGAGGAGAAAAGGUUUAUUUGGGCUCAGGGUUCUAGAGGUCUCAGUCCAUGAUCAGCUGGCUCCAUUAUGGCUUUGGGCUUGAGACCACAUGAUGGAAGGGCACAGGGGAGGAAAGCUGCUCAUUUUAUGGCAUCCAGGAAAGAGAGAGAGAGAGAGAGAGAGAGAGAGAGAGAGAGAGAGACCCCAGAGACAAGAAAUGUCCUUUGGGACAUGUCCACAGUGAUUUACUUCCUUUAAUCAGGUCCCAUCUCCCACAGCCUCCACCACCUCUCAGUAUUUCAUUUAGCUCUCAAUGGACUGGUCCACUGAUGAGGUCAAAGCCCUUAUGAUCCAAUCAUUUCUCCAAACCCCACAUCUGAACAUUGUUCACCGGGGACCAAACGUAUAACACAUGAGUGUUUGGGGGACAUUCCAGGUCCAAAACAUAACAUACCAGUUAUCUCAUUUAAUAUUCACAAAACUCUAUGCAGUGGGUACUAGUGCUGCCCUCCUAUGUCAAAACUGAAGCAUAAAGAGGAUAAGUUACUUGCCCUGGGCUCAGAGCCCUUUGUCAGAGAAUGAGAACUUUAGCCUAUGUCUGAUUUCAGAGUCCAUAAUCCAAAAUGGUACACUGUAAUUGGGCCCUCCCCUCUUACCCAUUCUACAAAGGCCCAUUUCUUACAUAGCCAUGGAGUAAUAGUUCUUGUCACUAAUUAUUUGUCAGAUGAAGUAGAGCAUAAAGAAGAGUACAAGGACAAAAGUUUUACAUCCAAUAUGCCAUUGGAAACACCACCUCUUCAUAUACAGUUCUGACUUUGGCUCUAAGACUAUUUGUAGAGACUAUAAAAUAGUUCAGCUUCAAAUCUCAUCCUUUGUUUCAGCAUAGACUAAAUAUCCAAAAAAAUGUAUUGCCUACUCUCUUCAUCUAUAUAUUUUAAAAUGGCCUGCACUAUUUAAAGUCAGUAACUUGGCCAGCAGAAUUUAUAACUUCUAACAUUUUGAGUUAAUUGAAACUAAGCCCAUUUUAAUUAUUCAUGUAGAUUUACAGUAAGGAAGGCUCAGAGGGACUGAGUAUAAAUGAAUGGUAUUCAAACCAGUCAGCCAAAUAUUUGUUAUAAAGUUGAAGCAUUGAUACAAAGAUAGAGCAGAGAGAUAGAAUUUUAUCAAGUUACAGGCUAUUGGGCAGAAGGGCUAAAAAAGGUGGAAGUUUGAACUUUGGAAGUGGGGAAAAAUAUCUCUGAAACUCUACCAUAAGUCCUCAUAUGAAAAAGAAAAUCAAAAUAGUAUGGCCAAGGGUUACAGUACAUCCAAGAAGAGUUAGUCAGUGUUCAGGCAGAUGAACUCUUAUUUGGUACUAAAAAUUUAGUCAUUACUGAAUGUGAAUUCUGCCCCCA